UUGUUUGCAUCACAUUCAGACAUGAAUAACAGUAAAAUCUACACGAUGCAAUAUUCACAAAAUAUAACCUCUAUUAUUUCUUUUUUAAAAAACAUACUUUUACAACACAUAGCAAAUAAAUCACAUCCCAUGUCCACUUAUCUUCACCGAUGACAUCAGCUCAAGCCCAAUCUGAAACGAACCUCAUGUUUUCUUUUUUUUCUUUUUUUUCUUUUUUUGCUUACUCUGUUUCUCAUGAAUCAUGUUCAUAAUGUGAGAGAAAUCCAUGCAAGUGAGCAUAGCGCAAUGUUCAUCCCGUUCGCUUUGUUUUGAGCUCUUAUACUGAUCGUGAUUCUAUCUCGGAGUAUUGUUUAGAAUAUUUAACCUUUUAUUAUCAACUCAGAACUUGUAAAUUAUCGCCAAUGCAAUUGAGUUCUGGAAGCUGCUGAGAUUUACGAAAAUCCAUUAAUCUUCAGGGUUAGACUUGUGCAGAUCUUAGUGCCGCUGAAGCUUUGUGAAGUUGGAGAUCUUUUUGUGUUAGCUGUUAUAGUGCUGGAGGAAAUACUCAAGUAUUGAUGGGAUUCACUACCUAUAGAGCAAUGCGAUGUCAUCAAGAACUAUAUAUCACAUCAUAUCGUGCAGCAUUUUAGGAAUGAAGCGUCAUUUUGGGCAGAACGGUUCUAUGUGAAUAAACCGAAUAUCAUUCUUGUUCAGAUAAAGCUGAAGAUGUGGAAUUGAUUGCUAAGAAUUUUGUGCCAACUAUGAUGCAUCCUAUUUUGGGUGAUAAUGCUCGCAAUGUCUCUGACGCACGUGAAUCUGAAGACUCACCUUUGUUUGCAACCAUCAUCAGCAAGUUGAAGGGCGCCAUGAUGGAUGUUUUCUCUAGAAUAUUUGAAGUUGUGUUUGCAUGCACCCUUGAGGUGUUUACUGGGCAAUUUGUGUGGAAAAAUCUAUUUAUUGUGUUGUCGUGCUCUACUGGAUUUUAUGCCCAUAUCCUCCAGCAUUCAUUGAAUCUGGGCCCUCACUAAACCACUUUGAGGUGCAGCAAUAUCAGGUCCAACAACUUUUACGGGUAAAGUGGAAUUUGUUUGAAAUUAGACCAUCAAGCGUUUGGGAACAUCAUUUUCCAACAUGUCUCCUCUUGAGGCAUGUUAUACAGAUUCUCCAUCUCCAUCAUUUCCGGUCACAUAAGUUUCCCAAUUUCGAGCCAGCUAUUUUCUAUUGUGAUUUGUGGUCAUUUAACCUAGUGAAUGAGUUGAAUAUACGCACUAGCUUCACAGAUUCGCAGAAUUCUGGAAAUCCACAACUUUAGAAGUUCUCGAGUUGUGUGUUGGUCACUCUGUUACGUCACACCCCUUUUGGUUGCAUUAGACGAGGUGAAAAAUUUCCUAAUUUUUUCGGAUGUGUGUAGGUGACUUCAUUUGUAAAUGGGCUGUUGAAGAACCGAGUUGAGUCAGGAUCUUUUAAGAAUCAUCUCCGUCAUUUCUUGAUUCAAUCUGAAGAGUAUUCAAUCAGGGUUCUUACGUUUUCCAGUCAAAUGAUCAUGGAUUUAUUAUCGAUUUCCAAUUUCCCAUCAACGCUGUCAUGACAUUAUCUCUCUUCAGCUAUUGGACGUGACUGCCAAUUCUGAAAUUUAGACCUACAAUAUUUCAUAUUGCGCGGCAGUAAUCUCUCUUCAGCUUGUACAGCUUUCAUCACGACGCAGUUGGCUGUGAAUGGAAAUCACUAACGGUGGAUAUGAAGUGCAGGACAACAAGCUGGUUUACAAAAGGGAGGCUGAAAGAAGGCGAAUGCUAAGUAUUCCUGAAGUAGUCGCUCCAAGUGAACUUCAUGAUGAUAUGAUUGAUACCUAGGCACAUUUCUCCAGGAACUCGAGACUUACGAUUCAAGCUCUUGUUGAUCGUCCCCUUUUUCAGCAUGUGUCUGCAUCAGCCCUUUCUAUUAAUGUGGAGCUGUGUUGUUACACAGUACAUUGUGCUUGCGUGAUCCCAGGACCCGACUAAUGCAUGGUGAUAUGUCGAGAAAUGGGCGAUGAUCCUGGCCGGUUUCUAAGUAUAAAUAUCGUACUAGGCUAGAGAAGAUUAUAAAAAUAAUGUGUUAUACACAUUUGUGGGAUCCAGCGAUGAGAGUGACGUAUUCUCUUCUGGGGAAAGAGCAACUAGUGUGGAGAUCGGAGUUCUAGGAGUCGGCCGUACCGUACUUGUGAUAUCUCCGUGCAGAGUAACGGGUUGUGAGGGCGUUGGAGCGUGUUCAGGCACGUGGGCUGGGUAAACAUCUGUUCUGCACCAGUGUCUCAUGUCUUUCCUCGGUGGUUGAAAUGGGACUGCUCCCAAAUGUUUACUUCAGCUGGAAAACGUCAGAUGGUCCAAACAUUUUUUGGUGCUGUAUCAGAACGUUUUGCAUUUUUUCGCUGCUUGAUGAUAUUCUCAUCCAUUCCCUCACCGAUCUACCGGUGUGUAGGCAACGUGGACGCAGUUUUUCUUACUGAAGUCCCAUAUCGAAACCCUCUUGCACUGGAGCUUCUUAUGCAGGUUAGGAUUGAAUUGUUCACAUCAAAGACACUCAAUGCUCACUCUUAUUGGGAGACAACCUCCUACUACAAUAGAAUCUUAUGGUAUGCCUCAAAAGUAUGUGGAUAUAUUUUAUGUUGCCACAUGCGCUGAAACAGCUGAUCAAUACUUAUGUGAGCAAAGACCUUUAGCUAUGUUCACAAAUAGUUUAUGGUUGAUGACAUCGAGCUUAUUAUCUUUACAGCUUGUGACAAUCUCAUACCUAUAAUAUAUUGCUAUUAAAAAC